rnacentral:antisense_RNA from 1 species
GGCCGCGCCCGGGCCGCGCACGCGCCCUGUCGGAGUCCCAGCAAGCGCGGGCCCGUCUUCCUCGCGUCUCCUUGGGGAGCGUCGCCGCCGCUACCCUGGGCGCUGAGAGCUUGCGGAGCCGAGCCGCUGUCGAGUCCCAGCGGAAAGAAGCCCAAGGUGCCGGAGAAGCCCGGUCGUGGACGUUGUUGCUCCCUCAUCUUCGAGACCCGCACGCCCUGCGGAGAGGAAAUGACAGGCACGCCGCGACCGUGGGGCGGGGCUCGCACGAGCUCCGGGUUUCCAGAGGCAGGGGCCGGGGCCGUAGAAGGCAGAGUCGCGCGGAGAAGGCCCGGUACCCCGCCCCUUCCGCACCGACCCCUCCCCCGCGGAGCUGGCCCCGGCCCCGGCCCUGUGGAGUGGACGCCGAGGGCGGCGGGCGGCUUCCGAGUUGGACAGAACGGGAGCUGCCGGCGGGAGCAGAGCUGCGAGGAGGUGGCCUUUGAGGGCAGCGCGGGGUCGAAAUCCCAUCCCAGCGCUGUGACCUCUUGGAGCCCACAUUGCCUCUUUGGUGGAGGGGAGGGAGUGGUCCAGCUCCGAGCCGAGCCUGGGAGCUGAAUGACCCAGUGUGCAAGGCGCACCUCGGAGACCGAAAGCAACCGCUCCCCCGGCUUCAAUUUCACACCACCUGCAGAUAUACGUCUCAGAAUCUGCGGCUAGGAAGAUCUGGGCCGCCAGAAGCUAAACGUGUGCACUUUAUCAUCAGCCCCCGGUUUCUCGUUUUAGAGUGAGUUCCCACCUGCCCUACCUAAACUGACCUGAAACGGAAAGUUGUAUGCCCCCACGACCAUCCUCACUGCAGAACUGCAGAGGGUUUUAAGCUCCUUAUUACCUGUUUCUUAUAAUCCUGUCCCUUUCCAGGCGAGUAUUUAUUGGAUAUUUCUACUUGUUUUAUCAAACUUCCUUUUCUUUUGACUUUAUAAAAAGCAAUGCCGGGAGGCUGAGGCAGGAGAAUCGCUUGAACCCGGGAGGCGGAGGUUGCAGUGAGCUGAGAUCUCGCCAUUGCACUCCAUUCUGGGCAACAAGAGCGAAACUCCGUCUCAAAAAAAAAACAAUGUUCGUCCUUAAAAUUAUGUGCAGAAGUUUACUGAAAAGUACAAGUUACUAUUUUUCCUUCUGAAGCACUCCUCACCGGUAACACCUGUUACUUUCACAGGUAACCUUAAAAUGCUUAACACAUAUUUGUUGAAUGAAUAAGUGCCCCCCAGUGAAUUUCCUUUGCCUGUACAAACAUAUAUGUACAUACCUUGCUUUUUCUAUUUAACAGUACACUUUUAUCAUUUAACAUCUGCGUGGUAUGGUACUCCAUCCGAUGGUUGUACUAUUAUUUAACCACUCUGCUAUUAAUAGACAUUCAUGUUGUUUAUAUUUUUUGGUUAUAAUAAACAUUGUUGCAGGCGGGAUCAUUGAACAACACAUGGAGUGUCUGACUCAAGCCUUGAGUUGUUUUUCCGGGAGCUGAGAAUCAGUGUGGUGAUAUCGAAAGAACAUGAGCUUGGAAUCUGAAGGUACUGGCUAGGGAGAAGAGCUGCUCAUGUGCUCCCGAUAGAAAGUCCCCCUUGGUCGGGAAGGUUAGGGCCAUCCUCUGACUCAGCAGUUUUAGGAAAUAGAGGGGGAGAAGGAAGGUAUGUACCUUCCUUCCACCAGGGAGGCACGCCCAGCCCUAACCAGCCAGCGAGGCAGUAGGUCCUUCCCAGCUCAUCUUCACAACCUGGGCUGGUGUCGGGAAGACUUUCGUUCCAAUGCUAGCUUUGGAAUCCUGGCCUCCAUCCCUUAAAAGCUUUGUGAUCUUAGGUAAGUCACAUCACACUAUCUCAAAGCCCCCGUUUCCUCACAGAAUGGUUGUUUUAGAGUUAUGUUUGUAAAUUACCUGGCACAUGUAGGCAUGUGACAGACUGUAACCAAUGUUACUCAAGGUCAUUUUGCACUGAUUCAUACUUUGAGCCAUUUCCUACUGUAGACUCUAGCACACAUUUUCAAGGCAGCUUCCUGAUAAUAAGGCUGUAGGAUAUUUUUGGGAAAUAAAUCCAAAUUGGCCAUUAAAACCAGAU